rnacentral:rRNA from 1 species
AACGUAGGACACAAGCGUUAUCCGGAGUUACUGGGCGUAAAGGGCGUGUAGGCGGAUCGGUAAGUCUACUCUGAAAGCUCCUGGCUAAACUGGGAGAGGCGAGUGGAGACUGUCGGUCUAGAGUGAGGAAGAGGAAAGUGGAAUUCCGGGUGUAGCGGUGGAAUGCGUAGAUAUCCGGAAGAACACCGGAGGCGAAGGCGGCUUGCUGGACCUGGUCUGACGCUGAGGCGCGAAAGCGUGGGGAGCGAACAGG